AAUAUUAGCCUACAACUACAAGCACUACAGACCUUCACCUUCCACUCUUAUGUUUAGUUAGGACCUUAUUAUGUGAUGAAAAUGUAAUUUUAUUUAGUAUUAUACUGUUGAGUGUUUCUCAAAUGAGUGAUAAUUGAGUUUCUUAUCUAAAAUAUUAAAAAGUGAAUAAAGAAUUAUCCUCUUGCAAUAAUUGCUGUGAUAGCCAGUCUUGAGCUGUUCUUGAAGGUCUGCCAUUGCAGCUUUUCGGGGACUUGUUGCCUUGCCUACCGACUUUCAUCGGCAUGACACCAGGAACAGGCACAGGCUGAACCUCCCUUACUGUAGAUUGGGGAGGACUCAAAACAGCUUGGCCUACCAGCCGGUGAGGAUCCUCAACAAGCUGCCCAUUUCCGCCAGAGGUUUGCCUGAGGUGGUCUUGAGGAGGAGAUUGAGGACGUUCCUGCAUGAAAAUCCCUUUUACUCUUUAAGGGAAUUUUUUGAAUGUGACACGGCAACUAAUGGAGUGCAAGAAUAUUCCGGCUAAGUUCCAUCGUGAAAGAGUUGGCGUUGCAUCUAGUGCAGAUGCUCCAUUCACCCAUAACAAGAUCGAAGUUGAACUGGUUUGUUGCCGCUUCAACGGAACUUGCUAUUAUACCACACAACCUAGAACAUCACCAUCUAGUGAUGUCAUCUCUUAAUCCAAUUUCCAUCACCAUCAUCAUAAACCAGGCUCCAUCACCAUCAUCAUAAACCAGGCUUCAUCAUAGAUUACUUCUGCUCAGACUUGGAUCACCAUGCUAUAAUAAGUCAAUUGAUAACAUAUCCGAUAUGUCAAUAAUCCUCAUUUUAUAGUAAACCCUUGAGAUUGAAGUGCUAGAUGAAUUACUUGAAAAGGUGACGGUCAACCCGAAUUUAUGUUUCUUGAAUUAUCUUUGUCCGGUUGUGAAUCACCCAGAAUUGUGCAUGGGUUUUUGCCAGAUCAAUGCGAAUGAAGUUUACCAUAAAAAUAUUUUAAGGGACGGUUUCCGAGCUCGGGAUUUAGCUAAGUUCUAGACUUUAAACAGCUGGAGUCAGAAAACUGGCUUUCUGAAAAACGGGGCCUCGUCGUAGUCCACGUUUAAAUUAAACUUCGAAAAACUAGAAAGUUGAACACAAAAUAAGAUAACGAGUAAAUUGUGUAAAGUCUCAGCUAUUUUAAUAAUUUAGGAAUGCUUCAUUCAGUCAAGAAAAGACGUUACCAACAUUUUAGAAAUGAGAAAAUAAAUAUCUUGAAAACCAUGACUACGCUCCAUUUCAGAAAGCCAAUUUUCUGACUCCAGCUGUUUAAAGUCUAGAACUAAGCUAAAUCUCGAGCUCGGAAGCCGGCCCUAUAAUUAUGUCUCCUAGUUGCUUUACUUUCAAGUGACUUAAACAUAAAUUUAUUCUAAUCAAUUUUUUUUAUACAGUGAUGAAAAAUCGAUCCAUACCGAUAUUUCCAUCAGUCAAUAAAUGAAAUUAAUAUUCAUGUAAUAGGAAAAAAGACUUACCACUUUUGUAUUAACUUAUUGUUAACAAUAUAGCUGACAAACAAGGCUCUCUGGGCCGCUUUUGGUAAAGUGAGGAAGUUGUUUUUCAAAUUGAUAAUUACAUUCUACUGGAAGCGGCUGGAGAGGUGUCUACACGAAGAAACUAUUAUUCUACACAUAUCAUAUAGUUAAGUUAGUUGAGUUGAAAAUGUAUUUAUACAGAGUAAGUCAUAAUGUAUGGGAACCCUUCAAUAAGUUGGAGACUGUUGUAGUUAUAAUACUGUAACUUUCAGGAUAAGUUAUUGGACGAAUACUCUACCUUUUGA
rnacentral:misc_RNA from 1 species